UAGAGAACCUCAAACCGUAGAAAAUUUGGCCUUUUUGCCUUAAACAGCGACUUAAGGAUUGGCCUAUUACCAGCAUAGGUGCCGAUCAAUUUUCUGCCACUCAGGUGCAAAUUCUGAACCCGUGAACAGAGUUAAUAUCACAGUAUAUCAAUAUCCCAUUUUGGUUUUAACAAUCACACGGAAUUUAUUCUAAAUCCUCGGGACAAGGGAGAAGAGCAGAGAGCAGCAGUCGGCCACUGACACUACGGGCACAGAGGUCAGCGCUGGAGCCGGCAUCAGUUAGUCCUAGGAGCAAGAGAGAAGACACAAACCAGAAGCAGCAUUCGGACUCUGGGUGAGGAAGAAAAGGCUUCCUGCACUUUACAGCGACACAGAUUCAGAGCAAGUUUUACUCCUGUAGCCAUAGCUACAACUGCACCAUGUGACAUCUUGUCGUUCCAGAGGUCACCACUUCAAAUGAGUGAACUGACCCACACAGUGAAAUGAGGGGCCCCGACUAUGAUCUGGUCACAGUCCACAGUGACACAGUUUGUUUACUGUGUUAGGAAGGUGGAAGUGGGUGGUGAAGAAGAGGCAACACUGAGUUUAUCCCCCAUGUGGCCAAUUGUUUAGACAGAAUGGGUACAAGCACGCGCCACAGUCAGAUCAGCUAAUUAAAAACCCACCUCACAGAUGGCGCUAAGGUGGCUAAGGAGAAAAGAUCUUUACCAUGGCAGAUGCUCUAAUACGACAUGCAUCACACACUCAAAUUAGCAUCUGAGAGGCUUUUACAGGCAAGGAGAUACAUGAUAAUGGUGCUCAAUCAUCCACUGCUCUCUGACAGGUGCAUGAAAAUAUGCCAACUGCACCUUCCCAGUGAAUGUGAAAUGUAAGUGAGUAGACUUGAAUUUCACCUCUGACUGCCUUUGUGCUUUGAUGGCUGCCUGAGGGGCAGCAACACUUACUGGGCUAAACAGCACUGACAUAUUGUAUGUAAUAGACUGGCUAGGUCCUCAGGUGUGAGAAGAUGUCAUCAGUCAUUAUAAAUAAAAACUUUGGAUAGGUGUAAAAAAAGAAAAGCCAUGAUUAUAGUUACACAAUGGUAAGCACAACAGAAUUUUUUUGACUGUUUUAACUAUGGUAGAAGAGAUAUUAUCCUAAAAUUUGUGCUUCUAUUUUCAAAGUCUGUUAUGUCUUUAUGAU